UAAUAGAAGCCAAAAAGAGGCUAUUCACUGUUAAUGAAUUUAUUGACAUUCCUAUU
rnacentral:tRNA from 1 species